rnacentral:lncRNA from 1 species
UUGUUUCAAAGAAUAUAUAUAAAUAUACGACUAGUAACAGUUAAUGAUAGAUACAAACAGUUAUGGAUAGAUACCACCUAAUCUUAUCAUAGCUUCAACGUCUAUUUUGAUCUCUAGUUAUAAAAUUUAAAAUUUCAAAAAUGGUAUAGAUCAAACAUAUAAAUGAAAACUUGAAAAUCUUGAAUAUAAAUGAUCCAGAUAACUUAUAACAAGAUGGACUAUUUUAGACUUGGAAUUCUUUUUUCUUUUUCUUUAUGUCCAUGUAUUACAUAGUCGGGAUGAUCAAUUGGAGGGUUCUCCAACACUGGAAUAUAUUCUUUAAGAUAUUUGAGGUGCACUUUAUUUCAAGAGUAUAUAAGAUUGCAACCUUAUAGAAUUUUUUUAUAAGAAGCGAC